rnacentral:rRNA from 1 species
AUGGAGACGAGGUGCGCCGUCUGUCAUGGCGACAUGGGCCGCGGCCACGCCACCUUCACGGCCGAGUGCUCCCACAGCUUCCACCUCCGCUGCGUCCACCACCAGACCGCCUGCCCGCUCUGCUUCACGCCGUGGCGCGACGUGCCGGGCGUGGCGCCCGCCCGGGACCUGCUCUUCCGCGACGACGAGCCGCUCGAGCCGUAG